AUUGAACGCUGGCGGAAUGCUUUACACAUGCAAGUCGAACGGCAGCACGGGGGCAACCCUGGUGGCGAGUGGCGAACGGGUGAGUAAUACAUCGGAACGUGCCCGGUCGUGGGGGAUAACGUAGCGAAAGUUACGCUAAUACCGCAUACGAUCUGAGGAUGAAAGCGGGGGACCUUCGGGCCUCGCGCGAUCGGAGCGGCCGAUGUCAGAUUAGGUAGUUGGUGGGGUAAAGGCCUACCAAGCCGACGAUCUGUAGCUGGUCUGAGAGGACGACCAGCCACACUGGGACUGAGACACGGCCCAGACUCCUACGGGAGGCAGCAGUGCGGAAUUUUGGACAAAGGGCGCAAGCCUGAUCCAGCCAUUCCGCGUGCAGGACGAAGGCCUUCGGGUUGUAAACUGCUUUUGUAUGGAACGAAAAGGCUCUGGCUAAUACCUGGGGCUCAUGACGGUACCGUAAGAAUAAGCACCGGCUAACUACGUG
rnacentral:rRNA from 1 species